rnacentral:lncRNA from 1 species
CACGGGGGGCUCGCCGCGACGCCCAGUCCGAGGGCCUCUCGCCUGGAAGAGGGAAGAAACCCACGUCCUGGACGCGGGUGUGGGGUCUGUCCCGGGUCAGGACCUGUUGUCUCUGCGACGUUGCCAGUCCGGAGAGCUCGGAGGGCCAAUGCAGCCCCGGAUUCAACAAGAUGCGAAAGGACUUCUAAAGCCAGGAACCGGCACCCAGCCACGGCCACCGCCCGCCGGCCCGGCGCCCUGCCCCCACUCACUGCGCCCCCAAGUUCCGGCGCCGCGGGCUGCAGGGGUGACUUGGCUCGGCGUGCCUCGGGGCACGAGGCUCGGCCCCGCACGGC